rnacentral:rRNA from 1 species
UACAUGGGGUGCAAACGUUGCUCGGAAUUAUUGGGCGUAAAGCGCACGUAGGCGGUUUGUUAAGUCGGAUGUGAAAUCCCUCGGCUCAACUGAGGAAGUGCAUCCGAAACUGGCAGGCUUGAGUACUAAAGAGGGUCGCGGAAUUCCCGGUGUAGAGGUGAAAUGCGUAGAGAUGUGGAGGAACACCGAUGGCGAAGGGCAGCCCUU